AGUUUGUAUGUAUUAUUUGUACUAUAAUAAAUAAUUUUUAAAUAAAAUAUAAAUUCUUGAUUGUUAGCUUGAAACAUAUGACGGACUAAUAAUAAAUUAUUUAUUGCCGUUUUAUUAUUUAUAAAAUUUUGUAAAAUUUUCGUGAUUAUCUUUCUCAAGCGAGAUUUGUUUCUGACAGAAAUCUUGCAACUAAAUUCUGGCCAUAAGAUCAUUUUUAUUAAUUUGCCCACCUCCAAGAGAGAUAAAAAGAGAGAGAAAGAGAGAAAGAGAGAGAGAGAGAAAAGAUAAGAAAAAGAAUAAAAUAAGGAUGAGAAAGAGUGGAGGUAUAUUAUUCUUUCUUUCUGGAUUUUUUAUAUUCGCCUUAUAACCAGAUUGUGAUUAAAGGAUUCCUAUCCAGACAGCACACAAUAUUUAUGAUAAAUAUUUAUAAAUAUUUAUUACUAUUUACUUUUUAUAUAUUAUAUAAUUAUUUUAUAGAUAUUUUAUACAUUUACACAAAAGAAAAAAAUCACAAAAUUUUUAUUCAAAAUGUUAUUAAAAUAUUGUAUUUUAUACAAUAUAGAGGAGAGGAAGGUAAGAUGACGACCUUAGGGUUUGUGAAUUUUUGCUAAUUUCUGUGAUAAUGUAAAAAUAACAAUCUAUUUUUUUUAGAUUCGCUAAAAUCUUGUUUAUCAUCAAUAAAAAUUAGAAAUUGUUAAAUAAACUAAAAUUUUUUUUAAUUUAAAUUAUUGUAGAACAUGUCAAUUUUGUCAUCUUGCUUCCAUAUGCGGGUAAGAUAACUUUUAAUACCAAAUAAGAUAAAAAAACAGUCAAAUAAAGUUAAAAAUGUACUUUUAUAAGUAACAAAGAUUUAUUACAACAUAAUAAUCUUACACUAUUUUGAUAUUACAAUGUAGUUAAAGAAAAACGUAAAUGAAACAAAAAAUAUUUAUGUAAUCUGCAAAAAUAAAAUUAUUAAAAAGGAGAUAUACAUUACAAUAUAUAUUGCGAUUAAAAUUACGUUAUAUAUCGUCAGAAUGUUAUUAAGAUCGAAGAAACCAAUGCAUUAUCUUGCCUAUGCACAACUUUUGUCAUCUUAUCCUCAGUUGCCGUGUUUACUUAUUUAUGAAGUAUAAAAUAUUACAAUAUAAAAGUUAAAAAAUAUAAAUAUUUUAUUGUAUACGUUUUUAGCUAUACAAUAUUGUGAUUUUAUAGAGAGAAUAAAAAUAUUUAUUAUAAUUAUUUUAUUCCUUAUAAACAAACACUAAAAAGUUACGAAUAGGUGUUUCUAAAACACAUUUCUUAUUAUAUUAUCUCAUGGACAGAUUGAAAUCAAACUAUCACAGGUUAUUCGUUACCAUUUAAAAUUUCUAAUAAAUUAAGCAUCAAAAUAUUUCUGAAAAAUAUUCCAAUUCGCAUAAAAUUGGUGAGAAAAAGUUUUUAGAUUUUUGUAGGAGCAAAUGUCACAGAUCCAUCACGGUGGACGCACAUCACGGCUGCAUCUUGUCUUCCUGAGAGAAGCCUGAAAGAGCGACCAUCUACGCCUUUUUUGUGUGAUCUUUUUGUUAUAUUUUUUGUUAUUAAAUAAUGCAUUUUUACAAAUACAUAUACAUAUACUAUACAUUCUUACAAAUACAUAUACAAUGGACUAUUAACUUUACAUUAAAGUAAUUGCAAAUUUUUGCUUCUUUUUCUUUAUAGGUGAAUGUCGAUUUAAAAGCAGACAGGAUGCAAACUUGACAAAGCGUGUAUAAGCAUAUGUCAUCGCCUAUUGGAACUAAUUGUGAGAGUAAUAUCACUAUUAGUUGCCUUUGUCAGAUGACCAGCAGUAUCUCAACAAACCAUCAGAGAUUUAACUUUCCCAGCGCGACCACUUUAGCGUUAAAAAUUUGAAAUAGACAAUUCACAAUUAAAUUUGGAAGACGUAGUAUCUUCGUAUAUAGAAAGAAUAAGAGAGAUCUAGUCAAUACUUAAUUAUGUAGUUGCGGAACGUUUUGAUGAAGCUUUCAAAAAAGCGAGAAAUCGCGACGAACUAUCAAAAUUUCAAAACGUUUUGUCCGUGGAGCUUUUAGCCAAGAAGAAACCAUUGUUUUGCAACCUUUUACUACUAAGGAUUGUGACGCAGUCAAAAGCGUUUAGCUGACGGCUGGUCUAGUUGUGCGUAAGAACACUGUCAUUGACUCUUGUUACACGGAACUAUUAAUCGGCUUUAGUAACAUACGUAGUUAUGAAAUUGGUUAAUCUUCUUCAUUAGUAUUCUUCUGAAGAACGGAAUAACUGUAAUUGGUCAGUUUCCUAACUACGGAUGUUAUUAAACCCGAUUAAAAGUGCUGUGCAUCAGGGGUUGAUUGACUAAAGGAAUUGAAUUGAUAAAGACGCAGAAGUUAUAAAACUAAUAUGAUCUAGUGGAGCCAUACCUCUGGCAUUCAAAAUUAUUUCUGAAGUGGCAAUGUGGUUGGAAAGCAGUAAUUGUCUAUUCAGUAUUACGAAGGAUCCUUAUAAGACAUAUAGUAAACGGUUCUUCUGGUGGUGAAGGUUGUAUACAAGCAGCAGCUGGAGCACCAUUCGGAAUUGGCUGAGAUAUUGGUGGCUCUAUUCGUAUGCUGGCAUUCUGCAACAGGAUUUUUGACCAUAAGCCAACUAAAGAUGAGGAAGAUUAAAGAUUUAGAUAACGCAUUAUUAAUAUGUUAUGAAACACUUGUUAUCACAUUUUUAUUAUAAGAAUUGUUUCGAAUGAUGGCCUAGGAUUCCAGUGAACAUAGUCACGACAAAGAUCAAUUACUCGCUAUUAGACUAACGUGUAAAUAUGCGCAAGAUUUAUCGUUAAUUCUUAAAAUUAUUGCGGAUAAAAAUAUUUACUUAUUAAAGUUAAAUCAAAAGUGGACAUUUCACAAAUAAGGGCAAGUUAGUUUAAUAUUGAAAUAAAAAUAUUUAAUUAUAUAUUUUUUCUUAAAUUUAAUCUUACUUCAUGUAUGCAUCCUUUUGCGAGAAAAUAUCUAAAAUAAAUAGAGUUAAUAAUUUGUAAUACAAUAAUCAAGAAACAAUAUUUCUAUGUGACUCUAGAUUUAUUAUAUAGAAGACGACGGUGGUCAGCAUCUAAUUUCGCCAGUGGAUCUAGAAAUACAAGCCAUUAUGAUAUAACUCGUUCAUGGCCUUCAAUUAUUCACUGAUUUGAUAACAAGCGUAAAACUAUUAUUGUUAAUACAUAUUUUAUCUAUUAAAAGAAAUAAAUUGUUACUAUAUUAUUUUA